rnacentral:rRNA from 1 species
AGAGUUUGAUCCUGGCUCAAAUUGAACGCUGGCGGCAGGCCUAACACAUGCAAGUCGAAUGGUAACAGGAAACAGCUUGCUGUUUCGCUGACGAGUGGCGGACGGGUGAGUAAUGUCUGGGAAACUGCCUGAUGGAGGGGGAUAACUACUGGAAACGGUAGCUAAUACCGCAUAACGUCGCAAGACCAAAGAGGGGGACCUUCGGGCCUCUUGCCAUCAGAUGUUCCCAGAUGGGAUUAGCUAGUAGGUGGGGUAACGGCUCACCUAGGCGACGAUCCCUAGCUGGUCUGAGAGGAUGACCAGCCACACUGGAACUGAGACACGGUCCAGACUCCUACGGGAGGCAGCAGUGGGGAAUAUUGCACAAUGGGCGCAAGCCUGAUGCAGCCAUGCCGCGUGUAUGAAGAAGGCCUUCGGGUUGUAAAGUACUUUCAGCGGGGAGGAAGGGAGUAAAGUUAAUACCUUUGCUCAUUGACGUUACCCGCAGAAGAAGCACCGGCUAACUCCGUGCCAGCAGCCGCGGUAAUACGGAGGGUGCAAGCGUUAAUCGGAAUUACUGGGCGUAAAGCGCACGCAGGCGGUUUGUUAAGUCAGAUGUGAAAUCCCCCGGCUCAACCUGGGAACUGCAUCUGAUACUGGCAAGCUUGAUUCUCGUAAAGGGGGGUAG